GACGAACGCUGGCGGCGUGCCUAAUACAUGCAAGUUGAGCGAUGAAGAUUGGUGCUUGCACCAAUUUGAAGAGCAGCGAACGGGUGAGUAACGCGUGGGGAAUCUGCCUUUGAGCGGGGGACAACAUUUGGAAACGAAUGCUAAUACCGCAUAAUAACUUUAAACAUAAGUUUUAAGUUUGAAAGAUGCAAUUGCAUCACUCAAAGAUGAUCCCGCGUUGUAUUAGCUAGUUGGUGAGGUAAAGGCUCACCAAGGCGAUGAUACAUAGCCGACCUGAGAGGGUGAUCGGCCACAUUGGGACUGAGACACGGCCCAAACUCCUACGGGAGGCAGCAGUAGGGAAUCUUCGGCAAUGGACGAAAGUCUGACCGAGCAACGCCGCGUGAGUGAAGAAGGGUUUCGGAUCGUAAAACUCUGUUGGUAGAGAAGAACGUCGGUGAGAGUGGAAAGCUCAUCAAGUGACGGUAACUACCCAGAAAGGGACGGCUAACUACGUG
rnacentral:rRNA from 1 species